AUUUAAUAUCUACACCCCCCUGUCGACGACGUCUUCCAAUUUCACACCCCUAAGAAGCAUGUUUUUAUAAGUCCCCUCGGAAAUUCGUCAGAAUUUUGAAAGCCCUUCAGAAAUUUGAUGUUUUCUUCUAUAUUCUUAAGGAAACUAAGUGACCCCUCUGAAAUACCCCUGUCGACGACGUCACCAAUUUUUCCACCCUUCGGAAUUGUUUUUGAAUGAUUUUGUGACCCUUCGGAAAAUGUCGUCGACAGCCCUAAUUUUCGUGACCAUUCGGAAAAUGUCGUCGACAGCCCGUCCAGCUUUUCGCCUAUUUGCUGAAGGGCUCGGAAAUUUCGCUGAUUAGCGAAAACCCUCAAGAAAAUGCGAUUUUUUUGUUCCCUUCGGAAAUUACCAUUUUUAGAACCCCUAAGAAAUACAAAUUUUCAGGACCCCUCCGAAGACGUCGUCGACAGGGGGGUGUAGAUAUUAAAUGGAAUGGCCCUUUCAAAUUCUCGCAUGAAA